ensembl:lncRNA
GUCAUAGAGAAGGGCAGCUUCCUAUGUAUAAAGGCCAAUUUUAAACUUAGCAGUGACUAAGACAUUUUUAAAGGGCAAGUCGGAGUGGAGGCAGAGAGGAUAAGCUGCCUCGGUCACAAAUACUACACCCAGAACUCCAGCACAGACUUGAACAUUCAGAGCAAACAGCAAGAGAUCAAGACACUAAGUGCUGUUUGCUGCAGUAAUAGGCAUUACUGGAACAUGAUGACUGCUAUGAAAGACAAUUAGACUAACUUGGAUUUAAUUCCCAAUAGACUCACAUUUGAGGUUAAAAUACAAAAAGAAACAGAGAAAAAUGGAAAUGCUUGCAUUUACUGAACAGAAGGAAUUCACCCAUUCAUUGCCAGUAAGUACCUGGCAGGUGGAAUAAUUCAGCAGCCACAACUGCCGAAUCGGGGAUUCUGUGCCCAAUGAACCUAUCAGAGACCACUGCGGGCAAGCAGUUACAAGGACAGAGGCCCCGAUGACGCUCUCCCAUGUCACCUGCUUAUGACGGACGUCAAACUUCAGUACCAGCUCCAUCUCAUGCCUUUGUAAGUUGGGCCCAAAUCUCAAGUCUCAAGUGUGAUUUCGUGUAGUACAUCCAUAAAGGUGGCCACAGUCAGCUGACAUAAAGCAACCAGACCAGAGAAAUGGGGGAACCAAGUCAGCACCCCAGGAGGCCUCAUUAUCUCUGGGGAACAUCUUGGGUGGACACUGAACCAGGCCCUGGAGACGAAAGAGUGAGAAGGCAGAAACGAUCCCGUCACUGGGAAGCUCACACUGCAGAGGAGGGACCCACCGUCAGGACCAGGCACCUUUCAGCCAGUAGACAUGGUCUAGUGGAGAAGGCCCGUGAUGAGGGGCCCAGCAUCCCAAGUUCCCUUUCUGCUCCGCUGGUCUCCAGCUGGCUCACUUUGACUUCGUUCCCAGUCCCUCUGUGCCACAACUGUCUCACCUACAAAAUGAAGGAGAUUGGUCCAGAUGUAACUACUACAGCUCUCCCAUGGAUGAAAUACUAGGUUACAAUGUCUACUGUUUUGCUGGGAAACAGCUCAUUUUCUCACAGAGAAAGGUGAGGGUAAAAUGAAAGGGUCAAGAGUCCACCUUGGAAAGUCUUCUGGACAAUAACCAAACAUAGUCCACAACAGACUUCUUUCAGAGUUGCCGUCACCUCCCCUUGACCCUCUCUGCAUUUCACAUACAGUCCCUCUACUCCAGGGAGCCGUGGAAUUGACGCAAAAUGGAGAAGGAGAAAGGAUCCAGGGGUACCGAGGAGCACGUGAGGGAAUCACUCACUGAAACGGAGGAACAGUUCAUCCCCGGAAAUAAGAUCCAGCGCUAUGGCGUUAAUUCAGUGUCUUUACUGUUGUGGUUAGUCAUGGAGAAAUUCGGGGCAUCAGAGCUGUUCCUUUAAAGACCGAGGCCACUGUGCUCAUGGACGAGCCAUCACCACACCAUUAUGACUAGUUUUCCUACCCACAUUUGGCCUGGUUUUCCUAUCGACUUCCCAAUCCCUGUGAACGUGUGCAGGUAUUUCCCCGACAAUCUCUACUACUCCCCACUCCACUUGGCCUGUUUGGGAACAGGACUGCUAUUCCAAAUGCAUUCUAUUUGGAAUGUGCAUUCGCCACCGACAACAGACAAAUAAGCCAGAAGCAAAACCACUUUUGACUCUGGGAUACUAACUGCAACAAAUUGCCUGGAAAUAACAAAAUGAGGCUGAAAAGACUAGGAUAAAUAUUCCCUGCAUUUUCUGCAAAAUACCAAUAUUAGCCACGGAAGACACAGGCCAUUUAGCUCCUUGAGCAUCAUUGUAUGAUCCAUAGUUUCCUCACAAGAAGCAAGUUCUGUUUGUGCCAACUGUGUAUGAUUCUGCUUCUAAAGCAUUACUCAAAUUCAACAUUCAGCUCUGCUCAGAGUAUGCAUAAUACACGAAUUAAUAACUAAUAUGAAAAGAAAAAAGGCUCUGCAUGAAAUAACCUUUUUCAGACUGAGCAAUAAUCCUCCACGUACAGUAACAAAAAUAGAUGUAACUUCCUUCUCCUCCUGAGAUGUCCAAUUCCACUCUCCGCGGGAGACUCAUCAAUGAACUUCGAUAAAACACCCAGGAUCAUAUACGCGUAGGUAAUUACAACUGUAUUAACCCCUGUCACUGGCUGUGAAGGGAUCAGCGUCAAUCUGGGCAGUUGCUAACAAUAGCGCUCUGAGGGCAAUACGCUCAGUGUUACUCAAGAUGAGUGUUGACUUGCAAGUGGCACCUGGAUGGAUUUGGGACAGAAUACUCAGAUCUUAGUUCUCCUGAGCUCAGCAUUAACAUAAUCCCAUUCUAUUACAAAUUCUCCACCUAAAGGUCCCCUACAGCCACCCACCUGCAGUCAGUCCCCACACCUCCUCAGGGCGGCAGGCUCCAUCAGAUGCCCAGGUGUCCUGAUGUAGGAACUCAGACCUCAUGCAAGGUCUAAGUGACCACUGCCCUCAUUGGGAAGUCACUCAAGUGCUUAACUCACAAACUUUCCAAAAUUUACAUUUUAAUGUCAGGUCCUCAGAGCCUGGGUCUGGAAAUCAACCGGGUCCUUUGUUAUCUGUAACAGAGGCUAUAAAGAAAGAUAACUUAUUGAAAAAGUUGGACUUCUAGGACACAGCAUACUGAAAAAGCUUGGACUUUAGAGCCUGACAGAGCUGGGUUUAAGCUUUAACUCAUUGUCGACUGGUGGCAUGAACGACUUUGCAGAGUUUCCGCCUCUCUCAGAGCCGUGACACAGAUUAACUGUGAAUCUCAGCCGACCAAACACACCUGCACCUAGGAGCGACCUCUCUCGGCACCGACAGUGCCGGCACUGGCUUUGUUUCGUUAACACACUGCCCAGCCCUUGCCUAUAGCUCCCGGACGGCUAGUAACCUACUCUGGCCAUCUCCACGACCCAAGCCCAGGACGCGCUGCGUGACUCACAGUAGGCUCUCAACGUCCACGUCACACUGAAGGAAGAGGAGGCACUUAAUUCAGUGCUUCUCAAACUUUAAUGUGCAUACAAUUCACCUGGGAAUCGUGUUAAAGAGCAUAUUCUGAUUCAUUACGUCUAGCGUGGACCCCAAGACACUGCAUCUCAGACAAGCACCAAAUAGACCCAUGCUUCGAGGACCCCACUCUGAGCAACUCAGUGCUAGUUUCCUUUCUUUUCCUUCCUUUUUGGCCCCGACAAUAGUCUAUGAAGUGGCAACAGCCACGAGCCGUUUGUGAGCAGCUCUGAGGGCUGUUUCCCCGCAGUCCAACCAUGACCUUCCCUUGACACCAACAGAGGCCGGGGCACCCAGGACAAUAUGAGUGUGGGGACUGUUAGUGUGAAGAUACAACUCUUCCCCAUUAGAACAAGCUAUCGAGUGAACAAUGCUCUUCGUCAGAAAAAUAGAAAGCUCCUUAAGGAACAAGAAACAGUUUCGUUAUACUUCUAGAGGACAACACACUAAAUAGCAAUGUGCCGGUAGAAGACACAAAUUUCUAAAUCACUGACAUUUAAUACCUUGUAUUUCCAAAAAGUGUCAUGCUCUCCACUGUCAUGUUAACAGAAUGAGUAUUUAUAAAUAUGCAUGCCAGAAACGCAAAGCCAUAUUUGCAAAGGGAAGCUGUCAUCUGGUGCCACACAGCGCCAUCUGCCGGGCAGCUGCUGAGGAGCAGCAGAAAAAAGGAAGGAUCCUGGUCAGGAAUAAUAACGCGAAAUUUCCUGCAGCUUUUGAAACAGCUUUAUGCAAACUAAGGCAGCUUCCUGGGGUUCUGCACUGGCUCAUUUGGAGAGAACACCAUACAGCAAAAAUGCUCUUUUUGCCUAAAAAGGUAGAACCAUUUUAUAGAGAUACGUAUACUGAUGCGGGACUACAGGCUGAACAGAGAAAUCCUUAUGGCCAUUGAGAAGAAAAAACUGUUUCUUCCUCCCAAAGAAAAAUCUGGUUUUCUGGGCACCACUGGAAUUUACCUGACUCUUAAUCAACACAAUGUUAGUGCACAGUAUUUUCAGCACCCGUCACAAACAAGAAAUAGACAUGAGAAAGUAGCAAAGACAAAUCUGUAAUCUAGUCACUACUGAAUGUAGGUUCCUCUUAAAUCCUAAAACUGGUCGAAUACUUUAGCACAAAUGUCAAGAAAGGAAUGAGUGGGAAGAUGUGAGGCCUGAUAAGUCCUUCCUACUGACAUCUUUCAAGGAAAAGGCAACUUGCUCUAUCAUCAUAGUGGCAUAAUUUUGAAAUGAUUUUAAUUUUCCUAUUGAAUAGUCUAGUUGCCAGAGCUGAUCACCCAGUUCUUAGGCAGUCUUCGAUUUUAAAGAAUUAAGCAGAAAUUUGGGUUUAACUGAACACAUUAAAGAAUAAUAAUGCUAUGAAAUAUCUACUUUGGGACGUCAGAAAAAAUAUAGGUAACAAGCCCUUUCAAGCAAUUUUCUACAGAGGAUCUCAAAGGGCAAUCCUGGCUG